GCAGGAUGGAGGUGGCCGACAGGGGGCCUCAGUCUCCUCUGGCUUCCUGGGGAAAGCUUCCUAGGGCAGGGCAAGGUUAGCAGCCCCUCACCUGUGUCAGCCAGUGGUGGACUCAGCUCUGUUGCUCUUCACCCUCAGCACAGCGGCCACCCCUGGACAACGGAUCAGAGCUCCUUCCCUCCAUUAGCGAGAGGAGCCACGGGAUCCGUCAGAAGGCCUCGGCGGCGUCCUGCUGCUGUCUAACAGCGCGCAUCAGGCGCGAUCUGUCCCGCUCGGCACUGCGAAGUGUCAACACCCCUGCAGGGAGGGGCCUCUGUCCCUCACGGCACUGAGCAGGGCGGGCAGCAGGAGCGUGGAGGCCCACGGUGAGGACACCUGAGGGCCUGGCGGGUAGCUGAAGCCUCCAACAUCAGGAAGGAAUGAGCAGUCCUGGAUUGAAACUCGGCGGUGGAAUUGGAGGCGAUGUUUCCCGGCAAAUGAAUUCUAAAAUAAACACUGGGGAGCUGGC
rnacentral:lncRNA from 1 species